AACCAGAGUCCGCCAGCAGCGUUAUUACAAACUGACAGAUGAUCAGAGAAGAUGGGGACCCUGGGAGAAGGAAUCAUAGAUGGAAGUAUGCUUUGUUUGGUUUUUCAGCAGGUCUACACCCAGACUGCUCCAGGAGCCCCAGUUGGCCACAACACAGACCACAAGCCAGCAGCGAGAACCACACUUCCCACCUACCAGAGUCCUCCCUGGCCUCUACAGACCGUGCAGACAAACAGGCUUUGCAACAUGAAUUGAGGAUCGACAAGCUAGGACAAGUGUCAGACCAGGUUUCACACAGACUUUUAUUUUCUGACUAGCUCCGGUCCAUUCUGAUUUUACCAAAAUCAGUUCAUCUGUUACUAAAAUAGUAGAUAUUUUUAACUCUGUUUAUCUGAAAGACCCACUACCCUAAGGAUUUGUGAUAAGGUGAAAAA